AUUGAACGAUGGCGGCAGGCCUAACACAUGCAAGUCGAGCGAGGGGCGGAUGGGUGAGUAAUGUCUGGGAAACUGCCUGAUGGAGGGGGAUAACUACUGGAAACGGUAGCUAAUACCGCAUCCAAUCAGAUGUGCCCAGAUGGGAUUAGCUAGUAGGUGGGGUAACGGCUCACAUAGGCGACGAUCCCUAGCGGGUCUGAGAGGAGUACCAGCCACACUGGGACUGCGACAUGGUCCAGGUUACGACGGGAGGCAGUAUUGGGGAAGCUUGCACCAGUGCCUACAGCCUGCUGCAGCCAUGCCGCUUGUGUGCCGAAUGCCGUUGGGUUGUCAAGCACUGUCAGCGGGUUAGCGCUACCCGCAGAGUAAGCACCGUCUAACCCCGGGCCAGCAGCCGCGGUAAUAC
rnacentral:rRNA from 1 species